rnacentral:ribozyme from 13 species
AUCCAAAAAAAGCAGAAGAAGAAAGAAAGAGAAAAAGAAACAACAAAAAGAGAAAGAGAGCAAUCUCCCCCCAUUUCUUCACAUUAUCAUCAUCAUUUUCACCCUCUUCUCUCUCUCUCU